GACGAACGCUGGCGGCGUGCCUAAUACAUGCAAGUUGAGCGAUGAAGCUUGGUGCUUGCCCCAAUUUGAAGAGCAGCGAACGGGUGAGUAACGCGUGGGGAAUCUGCCUUUGAGCGGGGGACAACAUUUGGAAACGAAUGCUAAUACCGCAUAACAACUUUAAACAUAAGUUUUAAGUUUGAAAGAUGCAAUUGCAUCACUCAAAGAUGAUCCCGCGUUGUAUUAGCUAGUUGGUGUGGUAAAGGCUCACCAAGGCGAUGAUACAUAGCCGACCUGAGAGGGUGAUCGGCCACAUUGGGACUGAGACACGGCCCAAACGCCUACGGGAGGCAGCAGUAGGGAAUCUUCGGCAAUGGACGAAAGUCUGACCGAGCAACGCCGCGUGAGUGAAGAAGGUUUUCGGAUCGUAAAACUCGGUUGGUAGAGAAGAACGUUGGUGAGAGUGGAAAGCUCAUCAAGUGACGGUAACUACCCAGAAAGGGACGGCUAACUACGUG
rnacentral:rRNA from 1 species